GGGCCCGUAGCACAAUCGGUCAGAGCAGGCGCUUUAUAAGCGCCCGGUUGUGGGUUCAAAUCCCGCCGGGCCCACCA
rnacentral:tRNA from 1 species